rnacentral:misc_RNA from 1 species
GAUGAAGAACGUAGCGAAAUGCGAUACGUAAUGUGAAUUGCAGAAUUCAGUGAAUCAUCGAAUCUUUGAACGCACAUUGCGCCCUUUGGUAUUCCAAAGGGCAUGCCUGUUCGAGCGUCAUUUGUACCCUCAAGCUUUGCUUGGUGUUGGGCGUCUUGUCUCUAGCUUUGCUGGAGACUCGCCUUAAAGUAAUUGGCAGCCGGCCUACUGGUUUCGGAGCGCAGCACAAGUCGCACUCUCUAUCAGCAAAGGUCUAGCAUCCAUUAAGCCUUUUUUUCAACUUUUGACCUCGGAUCAGGUAGGGAUACCCGCUGAACUUAAGCAUAUCAAUAAGCGGAGGA